CAAAUAUCAAAGGUAAACAUUCUAUCAGCCAUGUCCAUAUUUCAUAAGCUUACCAUAACAGACAAAAAAAAAAAAAUUAAAACAUUUCAAUAUGUUCAGGAUGUAAUUAACAUUCUAUCCCAACCAUUAGAACUCCACGAAAGAGAGUUACAAUUCAAUCAAACUGCUUUCCUAACCCUGUCACUCCCA